rnacentral:misc_RNA from 2 species
CAGUAUUCUUUUGCCAGCGCUUAACUGCGCGGCGAAAAACCUUACACACAGUGUCUUUUUGAUACAGAACUCUUGCUUUGGUUUGGCCUAGAGAUAGGUUGGGCCAGAGGUUUAACAAAACACAAUUUAAUUAUUUUUACAGUUAGUCAAAUUUUGAAUUAAUCUUCA